AUGAGGCCUGUGCUGUUUUUGCAGGUGCAGCGGUACCUGGAGAAGAGCAUGAUCAGCAGGAAGCUCUUUGGCUUCACAGAACGCUUUGGAGUUGUCCUUCCAUCCCCCUCAACCUCCCAGGAGAACUGCAAUCUGGAUGGCUUCCAGCACUUCCUGAAGAGCCUGCAGUCUGGGCCUGCUGAUGACUCCCUGGAGGAGGGCCUGGCCACAGCCCCGCGACCUGCCUCCCCGCUGAUGCACAUUGAGGCCUUUCUGGCAGCUCUCACCACUGCCAACCAGGAUGGCAGGGUUAUCCUGAGCCGCCAAGGCAGCGUUGGUGAAAGCAGCCUCAAAUUCUUGCUCUUGAACCCAGCCGUGCACUUUGCCCAGGUGGUGAGGGAGUGCCGAGCAGUGGUCAUUGCAGGUGGCACCAUGCAGCCGGUAAGGCACCAGGACAUCCGUCCAGGUCUCCUCUCUGUCCCCUGGAACCCUAAACAGAAAUGGGCUAGCACGUGCAGACCCAGCAGGGCCACUAGUGCCCCUGCCCCUGCCUUGUAGGCUGGUGGGGUUGUUGUGCUAUGGCUCGUGUCUGUCUGCAUCCCCUGGAGCAGGCUUCUCUGAGAAACAGCCCUUCGGAGUCUCAGACUCUCACUAGGUACCUCCCUCUCAUUACUUUCCUAUAGCAGCCUCUCUCAGAAAGUCAUUUCAUGUAUGCUUUUAUACAGUCAGUGCUGCUGUAAUAACAUAUGUGUGCACAUAUAUGCAGUUUGCAUAUGUACUUUUUUUUAAAACCACACUUCUACAUUAUUGGUAUAAUUUGCUUUUUAUCUCUGCAACAAAAUGUUAAUAUUUAUCCUUGUCAGCAAAUAUUUAUUCUAGCAUAUUCUGUGUUGCAUUCUAACCAUGUAGAUGUGCUACUCACACAACACCUGCUUAGUUGGUUCCUCAGCCCAUUUUCCUGUUACUGCUGGUUUUCACAGUUCUGUGAUUAAUGCACACAUGGACCUCAGAACCAUUUAUGGGUCAGGCUGUCAAGGCACAUUCCAAGCCCAUAGGCAUUUGUUUUGUUUUUGGUUUGCCCUUCAUGUGUACAGAUUUGUACAUUUGUAUUCAUUUGAUGGGUUAAUUUUGUGCAUGGUCAUUAUUCUGGUGUGUGUGCGUGCGCAUGUGUGUGAGAUGGGGUCUCACUAUGUAGUCUUUGUGUUUGUUUUGAGACAGGGUGUCUCUACAUAGCCCUUGCAUUCACUGUGUAGACCAAGCUGGCUUUAAACUCAGAGAUCCACCUGCCUCUGCUCCUCAAGUCUUGAUGUUAAAGACCUGCACCACCAUGCCAGCUCUACUGUGUAUGGAGUUUAGACUGUUGUCAGUCACCGUGUGGAUGCUGGGAGCCAAACUCUGGUCCUGUGCAAGAGCAUUGAGGGCUCUUAACCACAAGUCCAUCUUUCUGGCCCCCAAUUCUUUUCUUACAUGUUUUGCCCACGUAUAUAUGUUUUCUGUGUUCCUCUUUUUUUUUU
rnacentral:lncRNA from 1 species